rnacentral:rRNA from 1 species
AUGAACGCUAGCGGCAGGCUUAACACAUGCAAGUCGAGGGGUAGAGGAAGCUUGCUUCCUUGAGACCGGCGCACGGGUGCGUAACGCGUAUAUAAUCUACCUUUUACAGAGGGAUAGCCCAGAGAAUUUGGAUUAAUACCUCAUAGUAUUUUCGAAUCGCAUGGUUUGAUUAUUAAAGUUCCAACGGUAAAAGAUGAGUAUGCGUCCCAUUAGCUAGAUGGUAAGGUAACGGCUUACCAUGGCAAUGAUGGGUAGGGGUCCUGAGAGGGAGAUCCCCCACACUGGUACUGAGACACGGACCAGACUCCUACGGGAGGCAGCAGUGAGGAAUAUUGGACAAUGGGCGCAAGCCUGAUCCAGCCAUGCCGCGUGCAGGAAGACGGUCCUAUGGAUUGUAACUGCUUUAUACAGGAAGAAACACUCCCUCGUGAGGGAACUUGACGGUACUGUAUGAAUAAGCAUCGGCUAACUCCGUG